rnacentral:rRNA from 1 species
GUUAAUGAGGCGAACCGGGGGAACUGAAACAUCUAAGUACCCCGAGGAAAAGAAAUCAACCGAGAUUCCCCCAGUAGCGGCGAGCGAACGGGGAGGAGCCCAGAGCCUGAAUCAGCAUGUGUGUUAGUGGAAGCGUCUGGAAAGGCGCGCGAUACAGGGUGACAGCCCCGUACACAAAAGCGCAUGUGCUGUGAGCUCGAUGAGUAGGGCGGGACACGUGGUAUCCUGUCUGAAUAUGGGGGGACCAUCCUCCAAGGCUAAAUACUCCUGACUGACCGAUAGUGAACCAGUACCGUGAGGGAAAGGCGAAAAGAACCCCGGCGAGGGGAGUGAAAAAGAACCUGAAACCGUGUACGUACAAGCAGUGGGAGCACCCUUUGGGUGUGACUGCGUACCUUUUGUAUAAUGGGUCAGCGACUUAUAUUCUGUAGCAAGGUUAACCGAAUAGGGGAGCCGGAGGGAAACCGAGUCUUAACCGGGCGUUAAGUUGCAGGGUAUAGACCCGAAACCCGGUGAUCUAGCCAUGGGCAGGUUGAAGGUUGGGUAACACUAACUGGAGGACCGAACCGACUAAUGUUGAAAAAUUAGCGGAUGACCUGUGGCUGGGGGUGAAAGGCCAAUCAAACCGGGAGAUAGCUGGUUCUCCCCGAAAGCUAUUUAGGUAGCGCCUCGUGAAUUCAUCUCCGGGGGUAGAGCACUGUUUCGGCUAGGGGGCCAUCCCGGCUUACCAACCCGAUGCAAACUGCGAAUACCGGAGAAUGUUAUCACGGGAGACACACGGCGGGUGCUAACGUCCGUCGUGAAGAGGGAAACAACCCAGACCGCCAGCUAAGGUCCCAAAGUCAUGGUUAAGUGGGAAACGAUGUGGGAAGGCCCAGACAGCCAGGAUGUUGGCUUAGAAGCAGCCAUCAUUUAAAGAAAGCGUAAUAGCUCACUGGUCGAGUCGGCCUGCGCGGAAGAUGUAACGGGGCUAAACCAUGCACCGAAGCUGCGGCAGCGACACUGUGUGUUGUUGGGUAGGGGAGCGUUCUGUAAGCCUGUGAAGGUGUGUCGUGAGGCAUGCUGGAGGUAUCAGAAGUGCGAAUGCUGACAUAAGUAACGAUAAAGCGGGUGAAAAGCCCGCUCGCCGGAAGACCAAGGGUUCCUGUCCAACGUUAAUCGGGGCAGGGUGAGUCGACCCCUAAGGCGAGGCCGAAAGGCGUAGUCGAUGGGAAACGGGUUAAUAUUCCCGUACUUGGUGUUACUGCGAAGGGGGGACGGAGAAGGCUAUGUUGGCCGGGCGACGGUUGUCCCGGUUUAAGCGUGUAGGUGUGUGUUCCAGGUAAAUCCGGUUCACUUUAACACUGAGGCGUGACGACGAGGCACUACGGUGCUGAAGCAACAAAUGCCCUGCUUCCAGGAAAAGCCUCUAAGCAUCAGGUAACAUCAAAUCGUACCCCAAACCGACACAGGUGGUCAGGUAGAGAAUACCAAGGCGCUUGAGAGAACUCGGGUGAAGGAACUAGGCAAAAUGGUGCCGUAACUUCGGGAGAAGGCACGCUGACAC